AUUGAACGCUGGCGGCAGGCUUAACACAUGCAAGCCGAGCGGAGAUGAGGUGCUUGCACCUUAUCUUAGCGGCGGACGGGUGAGUAAUGCUUAGGAAUCUGCCUAUUAGUGGGGGACAACAUCCCGAAAGGAAUGCUAAUACCGCAUACGUCCUACGGGAGAAAGCAGGGGAUCUUCGGACCUUGCGCUAAUAGAUGAGCCUAAGUCGGAUUAGCUAGUUGGUGGGGUAAAGGCCUACCAAGGCUACGAUCUGUAGCGGGUCUGAGAGGAUGAUCCGCAACACUGGGACUGGGACACUGCCGAGACUCUUACGGGAGGCAGCAGUGGGGAAUAUUGGACAAUGGGGGGAACCCGGAUCCAGCCAUGCCGCGUGUGUGAAGAAGGCCUUAUGGUUGUAAAGCACUUUAAGCGAGGAGGAGGCUACUGAGACUAAUACUCUUGGAUAGUGGACGUUACUCGCAGAGUAAGCACCGGCUAACUCUGUGCAGCAGCAGCCGUAA
rnacentral:rRNA from 1 species